UACGUAGGGUGCGAGCGUUGUCCGGAAUUACUGGGCGUAAAGAGCUCGUAGGUGGUUUGUCGCGUUGUUCGUGAAAACCUGAGGCUUAACCUUGGGCGUGCGGGCGAUACGGGCAGACUGGAGUACUGCAGGGGAGACUGGAAUUCCUGGUGUAGCGGUGGAAUGCGCAGAUAUCAGGAGGAACACCUGUGGUGUAGACAGCUUACUGGACCAUUUCUGACGCUGAGACACGAAAGCGUGGGUAGCAAACAGG
rnacentral:rRNA from 1 species